rnacentral:lncRNA from 1 species
AAGAAGGUGAGAAUGUGGUCAACAUUCCACAAUGAUACUGUGAUUGAAGUAGACAACAGAAAUGGAGAGAAAACUAAGAAGUCAUAUGCCACUGUGGACUAUAGUGAGAAGAUGGGAGCAGUGGACUCAGCUGAUUUGAUGCUCACUUCUUCAAAGGGCACAAGAUUCGGUCUAAGAAAUUCUUUCACCACCUUCUAAACAUUACAGUGCUGAAUGAACCUCUACACCCUGUUCAAGAAGGACAAUCCUGAGCACACAAUUAGCCAUAUAAACUUCAGACUGACGUUGAUUGAAAAAAUGCUCUUAAAGCAUCACAGGCCAGGGCAGCAAAGUCUUCCAGGUCAUCCUUGCUCUGAUGAUGUCAUACCUCUUCACCUGUAUGGAAGACCUUUCCCCAAGAGAUAUCACCAACAUCAGGGGAGCGAA